rnacentral:rRNA from 1 species
CACGUAGGGUGCGAGCGUUGUCCGGAAUUAUUGGGCGUAAAGAGCUCGUAGGCGGUGUGUCGCGUCGGGCCGUGAAAAACCUGCAGCUUAACUGUGGGCGUGCGGUCGAUACGGGCAUCACUGGAGUUCGGCAGGGGAGACUGGAAUUCCUGGUGUAGCGGUGAAAUGCGCAGAUAUCAGGAGGAACACCGGUGGCGAAGGCGGGUCUCUGGGCCGAUACUGACGCUGAGGAGCGAAAGCGUGGGGAGCGAACAGG